GGGGAAAGCAGAGCAUUAAAAGUAAAUGAGCCGGGCGGACUAUGAACGAUGGCGGAGCGGCACAACGAUGAACAGAAAAUCCCGGGGCGUGUUUGCGGCGGGCGAAGAAGAUGACCGGCGAAAGACGCGCGGGCGCCAUUGCGCCGAGCUAGGGGUUGGCGGCUGAGUGCCGGGGGGUGAGGAUUUGUCACCGCGCUGAAUGCCGCAUUGCGGGGUUUUUGCCGCCGUACACACAAAAGACGUUGCACAUCGUGCCACGCCGUGCAAGAUAAUUAGACGGGUCCGUGGACUUGAGCUUGACUCGGUUGCGCACACACCAAAGCCGGCGCAGUCAGCUUUAGUCGCUAAUUUUUUAAAAGGCCCCCCCCCCCCCCCCCCGCAAACAAGUGCAAAAAAGUUUACAAUGACGCGACAAAGGCAAGACAAAUGUUGCUGAAUACAAAAUGAGCUGCUUCACGGACUGUUAUCGCUGCAAAAAAAAUGUUAGAAUGAAACGCAUUGUAUUGUAUCGCCUGAUUUAGCUACAGACUUGAGAUGCCAUUGGAUAAAACUGCCGCUGCCUGGCUGUUAGUACAGACGGGCAAGACAAUGGAGCAGCAGGCGCUCCCAGACACAGACAAAGGGACGUCUGUCUCGCUCUCCCCUUCCCUCCGCCCCCCCCCUUCCCCACCCCACCCCUUAAUCCUGUCUGAGCCAAGGCCAAGUUCAUUACCAUCAAGCCACCAAUUAACGGCUCUUACUAAAACAGCCACUGAUUGGACCGCAGGAGAGACACCAAAGUAUCGCAUAGACACAUACUUUGUAGUACAAGCAUGUUUCAUUGGCUAAUGAGAUUCGCACAGUAACGAGCCGCGCUAGCAGACGGAGCUGACUUGGUCGUUCGCGUUAGUGGGGAAAGUACUCGUGGCUAAUAUCGCCGUUGCCAUAGUGCGGCUCAUUUGCCUAGAGCUUAAAUCAUGCAGAAGCGCCGGUUCUUACCCAUGAUGAGACGUUGGCUUGCUGCCCAGCGUUAAGUCCGUUUCCCACCGUCCGAAACAAAGGACAAGCCAGCGUGCCGGGCGGCCGAGCAGGCGACGUGGAGCGGCGGCGGCGGCGACGAGGAGGCAGCACCGGCACACCGGGCCACGCCGGGGCGGCGAGCCACCGGCGUCCCCCCCCCCCCCCCCCCCCCCCAGCCGCCAGCGUCCCCGCCGGGUCCCGCACGACGAAGCGGACCGGCCGUCGACGCUGCCGGGGCCCUCCGAGGGACUUCCACUACCCCCCCCCCCACUCCCGCCCCCCCCCAGCCCCACACCGUCCUGCCGGCUGAGUAGAACCUUUGACUGUCUCUCUCUGUCUGUUACCCAUGAUAAUGAAAACACCGGGACGAGGUAGCACGAGCGAGGGACGGCCGCGGCGUGUGCGACGGCUGAAGCUAAAAGCUAACAAGAAAAAGAGACUUAGCGGUGCUGGUGUAAUUGGAUAGAAGAACGGUAACGCAGAAAUUGCGAGCGCGGAAAAAACAAGGAACGAAGAGCCGAACAAAUACGGAGAAUACAUCGUUCAGAGCUAUGCCGAAUAUUGUUUUACUGUACUUGCAGACUUCGGGAGCUGUAUUCGAAUGGAAAUGUGGGAUAUUUAAAGCAAUAGUUUAAUAUCGACAUCAGGGCAAAAUCAUAAAUACGUACGUUCGAGGAAAUACGACAUCGCAUAUAAACCAGAAAAGUAAGUUUAAAAAAAAAAGUCUAUAUUUGAAAAGAAAUAUGUACGUAAAAGUUAUACGCCAACAUUGCUGAACUACUUUUUAAAAGUUUAUUUUAAUCUGCGUAUAUAUAUAAUUGCCAAAUGUAAUAAAAACAAAGCAUCGAUAGUAUUUAUUGUUGUACUCAGCUGUGCUUCAUAAGCGAUUCAUACUGGACACUUACACAAGCGGCGAACUUGAAUGGAGACAUGCCCAGUAUAUAAAAAAGCCCAUUGUUUAUGCAAGCACAAUACUAUAUGUUAAAUGACAAAAAUUUGUUUUAAGGAGCAAUUAAGGAAACAUUGAGUGCAUUAUUAUUGCUUAUUACUAAAUGAUUGCUAUUACUAAGUCACCACCCUGCAUCGCUAAUAUACAUGUUGUCACGUCUGAAAUGUAGAACAGAAAAACAUAUUUUACUCGUUAAAAGGGCCUCACCUCGCAUUACGAUUUAGACUGUGAUAUCAUAUUUAAGACGGUGGUAUGAGUUGAUAGUAUAUUAUUAUUUCCUUGAUGUUGAAUUAAUGAGAAGUUUAUAGCGCACAUAAUUAGAAGUGUAUAACGUAUUCCGUUUGAACAAUUUGAGGGAAAUGCCAACUGUAUAACCUUACGCAAGGAUAUUUUGAAGUACUCGCGUCCCACAAAUUCUAGAUUUAUUAUAAAUAAUGAUUUUUCCAUCCAAUGUAAUGAAAAUUUAACGAGAAAUCGGAUAAUUUUACUAAUGCUGUCUUGUUUAGAGGAAACGCUUUGAACAUACACUGCGACGAUGCUGGUACGCACGCACUCUAUAUAUAUACACACACCAUAAAGCAGAAUGUAUAAAAACGAAAUUUUUAGUUUGUUCUCGCAAAAAGCAGGAAUUUAAUGAGACAUUUCCAUGAUAUGCAGUGUGCUAAACGGUUUCUGUAAAAUGGACGGAAUGCAUUUGAGGUGAAAGGCCUACACAAAUGACAAGUCGCACCUGGUAAAAUGCCUGAAGCAAAAACUUUAAAAUGUCUCUUGUAUACAGUGACUAAAGGUUUGAAAUUCGGGAGCGUUGCAAAAUGGAAAAGAAUCGAAUGACGUCUAUCCCUGCAAAGUCCAUGGUGAAGACAAUUGUGCGAAAGAAGCCCGUUAUGCAAAUAGAUAACGAACACUUAAAAGGCAUCAGUUAUAUCUUUAAAGACUGUGGUUUGUUAACACGGAAGGGCAUGCUGAAAAAUAAGUAUAUACAUAAUGCACUGAAAAUGUGAUGUCAUAUUGAUGUUACAGAUCUUCACAGUACUGUAUAUAAUAACAUGUAACUAUAUUAUUAAUGUGUUAACAUGACGAGAAAAAAUAUUGAAAUUGAUUUUAAAAAAUACCAAUGAGCAUUUUAUGAAAUAGCCCUAAACGUGAAUAAAGACAAUCUGUUCCUCUUCAGUGUGGAUGGGAAUUCUCUCAGAAGUUGGUAAUAUUUUGUGUUUAUUUAAUGCUAUAUAUUUGCCAAUUUGACCUAAACUGAUGGCACCAUCCAGGAUUGUGUAAUUAACGUACACAUUAUUUAACAAAAUAUCAUCCCAACUAUUUGCACACGUGCAGGUACUCGUCACACACUCUAAACCUGGGCCAAAGUUUAACAAAAUAACUCGACUUUUGAUUUUUGUACAAUUAUCGCGGAUAUAAAAUUGUCAUAUUUAAAAUGUACUUGCAUUGCGCAACCUGCAAUCUGGCAAAAUAAAUACUGAUUUGAGAUAC